AAAUUGAGCUGGAAUACUAUCGGUGGCAAAUAGGCUCCGUUGCCACCUAUUUGUUUUCGAUGAUGGAGCCUCCAAAUCGACGAUCGGCGCCGUUGAAAAUGAUCUAUACUACUUGAAGUAUCUAGAAAUCAAAUUUCAUACAUUUCAUUGUUUUCUUGUCCAUCAAGUAAGCGUAAAAAUAAAUGGAUGAAAAUGAAUAUCCUCUAAAAAGUGAUGAUAGAAAUUUUGUAAUCAUGAUCGAGAGUAUAAAUCUUGUUCUAAAUAGUUUAAAGAAUUUUCUAACCAAAAUUUAAUUGAUUUGGAUAGCUUUAGACUGUUAAACGAGAAAACCCCUCAUAUCAACUAUUAAAAUUAUAAAUUUUGAAACCAUUUGAUCAUUAGGUAAAUGAUGUCGAAAAGAUUUAAAAUUUGAUUUCUAGAUACUUUAAGUGAUAUAGAUCAUGUUUAAUAGUGCCAAUCGUCGAUUUGAAAGCUCCAUCAUCGAAAACAAAUGGGUGGCAACGAAGCCCGUUUGCUACCGAUAGCAUUCCAGCUCAACUCUAUAUAUGUAUAUAUAUUGUAGAAAAUGCUAUUUUUGCACCCCUUACAUCCCUUUCAAGUUUCAAGGGUGCAUAAGUUGGAUCAAAGGAUUGAGAAAACCCUUUUCGAUUUUUAUAAGACAAGUAUGUAAGACUCAUACCUACAGAAUAUGUGGACGGUCUGAUAAAAUUCUUUGGGAUAUUUAGUAUUAAAAAAAAGUUAAUAAGACUAGUGAAAAAUAGUGGUCUUUAAAUGAGUGUGAUGUAAGAUUUACAUCUAGUAUAUAGGUGUACAUAUAUAAUCCUUUUUUUUUGAGAGAUAGGUAGCACGCUACCCGCUUCGUUUAUUUCAUUUAGAAAUAAAUUUAGCUAGAAAUGUGAAUCAACUAGGAUUCGAACUUGGGUCUCGGGUAACAACUACCAAACCCUUUGCCACUUGCUCUAGGGACGGUCGGUGUGUACAUAUAAUCCUACUCAAUAUUUUUACCUUAGUCUAAUCAUUAUCUCUUUUUUCAAAAUUUAAGAACUCAAAAAAGGGUGCUUAAACCAAAUUGGAAUGAAGUGGAAUGAAUUUUCCUUUGGAUGUGCAAAUUUCUCUAAAAAGGCUUAAUUAUACUCAACUACGCUGUACUUAAGUGUGAUUUUUGUUUGCUAAAAUUAUACCUUUUUAACGGACAGUCGCUAGAGAAAGUGGCAAAGGGUUUGGUGGUUGGUACCUGAGACCCAAGUUCGAAUCUUAAUUGAUUCAUAUUUCUAGCUAAGUUUAUUUUCAAAUGAAAUAAACGAAACAGGUAGCAUGCUACCUAUCUCUCAAAAAAAAAAUUAUAUCUUUUUUCCGAAGAUAUCAUUGUAUUAUUAUAUUUUAUCAAUCUCUCCGGUGUAUUUUUAAAUUUAUUUAUAUUUUUCUAUCUUAUGUUUUUUUUCUUAUAGAUAUUACUAAACUAAUUUUUUCUCGCCAAUUUCUAUAUUACUAUUAACAAAUCUAUUAUUUUAGACAAAAUCUUACAAUUUUAUUGAGAGACACUGGUUAAAUAGUAAAAAAAAUAUAAAAUAAAUUUCUAUAAUAGACUCAUUAAAACUUUCUAUUAAGUUAUUUUUAUUUUUUAUUAUUUAUAUUUAUUUUUUUAUUUUUUAUGUCA
rnacentral:lncRNA from 1 species